CCGGACAAGGCGCGGCGCUACACGAGCAACGGCCUUCUAAGCCGUAGGUCACACGUUCGAAUCGUGUAGGGCGGGCCA
rnacentral:tRNA from 1 species